rnacentral:sRNA from 1 species
UUGACUCGCAAAUGAUAAUUGUUAUUAUUUGCACAUCUGGUCCUCGACCAGAUUGGAUAAUCUGAAAGUCAGCCAUGUAUCAGGCUCUCAGCUUAUCUCCUCAUCAGGCUAAUCACGGUUUGGCCCGGCAAUUUGCCGGGCCUUUUUUUG